ACUGUAAUAUUUAAGUUUUAAUAAUAAAAUAAUACUCUAACCAUUAGUCUCAAUUGUUCCAUAUUUAGUGUUUCUCUUGUUUGUAAGAUAACAUAAUGAUAGUUCUUUGUAUGGGCUAAGAAAGACCAUGUAGAUUUGUAAAAUUGCGGGCCGGGCCCCUAGGCCGUGACUUUUAAUGGCCCAUUGACACGUCUGAUUGGGCGUUCUUAAACACCAAUAUAAGAAGAUACUAGUGCCAAGGUUGUACGUUGGUCUUCGUCAAAUUCUUUACUUGGCGGGAAGGCCCAAACAAAGUUCUGGAAGUUCAGCUUUUUUUACAAUGUUAGGGAUUCAAGCAAGAGUUAAGAAUGAAAAAAGUAGAAUAAAAAAAGUAAAGCAAUCAUUACAAUAAUUAAUACGACAUCUGAGCAAUUUACAGUUGAUAAUGGAGCUGCUGAAGUUGUCCAAAUUCAGGCUCCAUCGUCAAGUCCUAAUCACCGAAGCUCGACAUGUCAGAGUAAACUUUAUCCAUAUUCAAGUCUCGCUAAUCUCUAUUAUUAAAUGAUUCACUUAUUUUUUAUAAUAAAUAAAUAUAAGAAAGAUAGCGCACGGCGACUGAACAAAUUCAAGUUUUAUUCGAGAAACAAAAGCAAACUGAGGAGGAAUAUUCUAGAAAGUUACAGGAAUUACAAGCGGAAUUAGCUUAGUCCAAGGAAUCUCUCGUCAAAAACUUGAUAGACAGGUGAGUUUCCUUCAAAUCGACAAUGCAUUGCUUGAAAACAAGCAAAAGGAGUUGAAGGAAACUAUAAAUAGAUUGCUUCAAUCUAGGGAAAGUUUCCUUAACGCUUACAAGGAAUCUACUUGUGAUGUGAAACGUUCAAUUGAAACCAGAGAUAGAAAGUUCAGUUUCCUAUAUGAGAAGAUGAACUCUCACUUGAAAUUAUUUGAUUCAAUAGAAAAGGAGACAUUUUCCAUCAAGCAAUUUGUGGAUAAUGCGGAACUCCUUUUGCUAGCUUAAAGAGCAAAAUGGAAAAGGCCUCUUUGUUUGAAAAAGUCUUUGUUGAAAAGAUUUCUCUCCUGGAAAGUAAACUAAAAUAUGACAAGGAUGAGUUUAGAAGAAAGGAUAAACUUAUUUCAGAACUAGAAGCUGAGCUCGAAGUGGCAAAAGUUAGUAAUGACCGCCAAAGUCAGAUUGAAGAGAGAUCCAAAGAAGCAUUACGAGAUCUUUCUGUUCUUUAUAUUCUUAAGAAUCAAGUUACACUGUCAGCCAAAGUUAUUUCUUAAAUUUGUGAGCUUAACCAGCCUUACCUCCAGAAAACUGUAUCAGCAAAGGAUAUUGUCAUACAAAACCUGAUCUCUGAGAAAGAGGCGUGAAUUUAAAAUUCUAUUUUCAUUAAAUUUCUGUGUAUCUGAGUUGAUGGUCUUUCUAAUUAUAUGUUCGAAUACACUAUAAUUGGGCCUUGUAUAUGGAGUUCAGGAGUUUAGGAAUUCUUUUGCAGAGAAUUCAUGACACCGUUGCUAAUAUGAAUCAAGAGGAUAAGAAGGUAUUCCGCAAAACAUUAGUGCUUAAAGGAGAGUGUAACAUGGGUACACCAAACGAUUAUAACAGGAGUACAAACAUUUGACAUUCAGUUGGAGAACAAUAACUUGAAACCAUUUUUGUUCUUUCAUAAUGAACUUGAUUGGAUGAGUUUCAAACCAAAGUUCAUUAGGAUAACUGCACUGUUCUAAGCAGCAUGUAGAUUCUGCGUGCUCGAUGAUCCAAGCAGAGAGCUCAGAAGAUGCAGUUUAGAAUUCCACCAGGCUCAGCGUGAGAUCGUCUUCCUACAUCGUGUUCUGAUGGCGUAUGAAGAUGUCUGCAUAUUUUCUAAAUAUUCUAGAAGUAUCAAUCUGGUCAAGAUUUGGGAGAGAACUGAAAUGCCUGUCAUUGUCAUCACAGCGCAUGAGGAAAACUUCAAACUUUUUGUAGGAAAAUUCGUGUUGCGGAGAGGGACGAGAGAAACAGAUUUUUGUAUAGCGCGAAGCUAGCUAGGCCUAUAGCUAUAAGAAACAAGAGUGGAUGGGCAUUUGGUUUUGGGCCUCUUAAAUUGAGAGGUUAACAGGGACGGCACGUUACCUGACCGCUUCCCCAAAAAUCAAUUAAUAUCUUUCUCAGAGUCUGAGCCACAAGUCAGGGUCAGGGGAGCAUUCAGUUCUGAAAACCUGAAAUUAAAUUUUCUACUGACAGCCCAGCGUCUUUUAAACAGUUUUGUCAGUCAAUGUUCAGGUGUACUAUCUUUUUACUCUUUUUAACGUUGAUUGUUUGAGUUUAAGCACAAGGCAACUCAAGCCAGGUUAAAACAAAUGAGUUAAGGACAAUUUCGAACA